CCCGGAGCAGACGCCAGUGGCCACAGGGCAAGAACGGAUUUGAUUCCAGGACACUGACAGGUACUCUCUGAUUGACUCUUUGAGGGAUUCCCAGGAAUAAAGAGGCUCUGGUCUGGGAACCCAUCAUCCUACAUCUUCCCAUCCGGACAUACUACUAGAUAGAUAUUUUAAAAUCUUUCCAAUUCGCUCAAAGGGUCAAGGCCGCAGCCUCUCCCUUUUGCUCACAAGUUGACUUGACUCCCCAGAGGCUCUAGCCUGUGUCGAUCUGCAAAGACCCCAGGGUCCCAGCCCACGUUUCAAAGCUCAAACUCCGUCCAUUUGAGCAACUUUAAUUCCUAGCUGCCCUCGAGAAGCUUCAGGAUCCUUCUGGAAAACAAAACUGGAAGCCUGCGCUGGAGGGGUUGGAAAAUUAUUGGUCGUUCGGACGUGGCGGCGCUCAGCACUGAUGUGACGCCCCCAGAUGCCAGCGCAAUGCGAGGAGGACCGCUCCGUGGCUCGCAGACACGAGGCACCGCGCUGGACACUGGGCGAUACUGUUUCCUGGCGUGUAGGGUUUUGGCUCUAUGUCAGACAAACUCAGUUUUAAAAUCAGACUUUACCACCUACUGCCUGAACUUGGCAAGUGCAGCUGGCACCACCUGGCCUGCCUUUGAUGGAUGUCAUGCCCAGAAAUGAUGAAAGGCUUUGGCUCUUACAAAUGACAAUACCCCUCAAAUGAACAGAAUGCUCGCCAUGGAGGCUGAACUCACCAGUUUCACUUGUUCUUACCACCCAUACCCUAUGAGGCCCUCAGCUUAGCGCUAGACAUCAUCUGACUACAGGAGAGGCAGCUGCCUGUCAUCUCAGCAAUUCUGAAGGAAAGCCAGGGAAUUUGUUUGAAAGUGUUUGUCCAGAUGAAACCACAUGUGGCCUCCAGGGUGCUCUGGGCCUGAAGCCGAAGCCUGCUGGCGUUGGGAGAGCUGCGGAGCUCAUCCAGAAGAAAAUCUGAUGUCUCCUUAAAGCCAGGAAAGAUAAAAGAAACCUGCAUUGGUCCAAAACAGCACAGUUCAUGUGUGGGAAUUGCACAAGAUUGGGGUUUGUCCUCUUUGUUGGCCUCAGAAAGGCCAGGGGAUGGAAAAGAAAGUAGACAGCUGCUGAGUCCCUCUGUUUUGUUAUUCUCUUUGCUUAUGAGAAACUGGACUGCUUUGCCUUGAUUAACCCUCUUGGUGGAUAGGGGGCCUUGAGCAUAUAAUAUAUUGUGUCCACGUAGGUGAUAAAGCCACACUGGGACCCAGUCCUAUGAAAGGUAAGACUUGAUGGGCUUUCUGUGCCUUACAAAACUCUGAUUCUUCUUAAUAGUGAUUGAAUUGCAUGACCUAUUGUAGAUGAUAGGCAAGAUUCUCAGGCAGGCUGGAAAACUGUUGACUCUUGUUAUCCCGUGCCAAAAUAUUUGGUAAAGUCGUCACUUGAACUGUCAUAGAGGAGAAACCACUCACUUAUCUAUCCCCUCGAGGGGAACUGUUUGGAAGAACUCAGACUGUUGUGGUAGGUUGACAGCUCCUUGUUGCUUUUUAUCAAGACAUGAUGAGAGAAAAGAAGUCAGGCAAGGGCCAUGCAGUUUGCACGGAGAGAUGGAAGUGAAGACACUUGUGCUAAGGAGGGGUUCUUGGAACGCAGCUUGCCCUCUAACGUCCAAAUGUGUAGCCCUCUGCUGUUGGAAAACACAAUCAAGAAAGAGAGGAACGCAAAACAAAGAGGUCAGGAGACCCAGCACAGACUCUACCACUGGGAAGGUGAGAACAGAUCUGAGAUGGUUACAGUGAAUCCAGAUUGGAAAACUCAGCCAGUACCCAUGGUCUCUAUUCCAUCCAGAAUGUAACAUAGGCAUUGUGAAGGUCAGUAGAAACAUUGCUUUCCUGAUGAAAUCCACAAUGUUGUUGGUGUCUGGCUGAUAAAAAAAUGACAAGAUAAUUAAAAAAUCUAUUCCUUACUUGAAUGCUGACAUCAAUCUCUGACGUCUCUCUUGGCAAGAGUCUUCUGAUCCCCAAUGACUGUAACAGAAGAAAACUGGAUAUCUGUCAGACCAGAGAACUUCUCCUGUAGAUACAUACAUGAUUGUUUCUAUAUUAUAGGUACACAUAUGCAUGGAAUAUUCUUUGGAAACUUACACAAGAAGCCGGUCACAGUGGUUACUUGAGAGGGGGAGGCAGAGGCCAUAGGAAACAGCAUGAGGGAGACUUACUUUUCUCUUCUCCCAUUUGGAUAAAUCAUUGGACCAUGUAUGUACAUCUCCUAUUCACACAUGCACACUGCAAAGUAAAACAAUAGUCUCUAAUAAAAUUUUGAGUGCAUGUACCUUUUGACCUAGUUAUUUCUCUCCUGGGAAUGAACUCCCACAAAUUGAACCAAAUGUGUGAAAUGGUGUAUGUUUAAAGUCAUUAGAUUGUAGCAUCGCUUUUAAUAACAAGUAUUAAAAACAAGUGAAAUCUUAA